AGAGUUUGAUCCUGGCUCAGGAUAAACGCUGGCGGCGUGCCUAACACAUGCAAGUCGAACGCUCAGAUCGCAAGAUCUGAGAGUGGCGGACGGGUGAGUAACACGUGGGUUAUCUGCCUUUCGGUGAGGAAUACCGGCGAGAAAUCGCCGACAAAACCGCAUGAGUUUCCGGUAACGGAAAGAAAGUCGUAAGACGCCGA
rnacentral:rRNA from 1 species